CCCGUCUCAGGGUCGCACCUGGAGAGUUUCCAGUACUCUACCAGUUUCUGCUAUGGGAAGGAGAGUCAAGCAGAGGCCCACCCUUUCCAUUCCUAGCUUGGGCAGUGGUUAGGGGGUGAAAGGCAAUCUGCUACAGGU